GCUGGGUGUGGUGGUGCAUGCCUGUAAUCCCAGCUACUCGGGAAGCAGAAGCAGGAGAAUCGCUUGAACCCAGGAGGUGGAGUUUGCAGUGAGCCGAGAUCACGCCACUGCACUCCAGCCUGGGCGACAGAGUGAGACUCUGUCUCUA
ensembl:misc_RNA Metazoa_SRP Metazoan signal recognition particle RNA